rnacentral:rRNA from 1 species
UACGUAGGGCGCAAGCGUUGUCCGGAAUCAUUGGGCGUAAAGAGCUCGUAGGUGGUCUGUUACGUCUGCUGUGAAAACCUAGGGCUUAACCCUGGGCCUGCGGUCGAUACGGGCAUCACUGGAGUUCGGCAGGGGAGACUGGAAUUCCUGGUGUAGCGGUGAAAUGCGCAGAUAUCAGGAGGAACACCGGUGGCGAAGGCGGGUCUCUGGGCCGAUACUGACGCUGAGGAGCGAAAGCGUGGGGAGCGAACAGG